rnacentral:rRNA from 1 species
UACCAGCUCUCCGAGUGGUAGGGAUGAUUAUUGGGCUUAAAGCGUCCGUAGCCGGCUUAGCAAGUCUCCUGUUAAACUCAGCGACCUAAUCGUUGAAUCGCGGGAGAUACUACUAGGCUAGGAGGCGGGAGAGGUCGACGGUACUUCUGGGGUAGGGGUGAAAUCCUAUAAUCCCGGGAGGACCACCAGUGGCGAAGGCUGUCGACUAGAACGCGCUCGACGGUGAGGGACGAAGGCUGGGGUAGCGAACCGGAUUAGAUACCCGGGUAGUCCCAGCUGUAAACGAUGCGGGCUAGGUGUUGGGGUGGCUACGUGCCACUUCAGUGCCGCAGGGAAGCCAUUAAGCCCGCCGCCUGGGGAGUACGGCCGCAAGGCUGAAACUUAAAGGAAUUGGCGGGGAGCACCACAAGGCGUGAAGCUUGCGGUUC